rnacentral:rRNA from 1 species
UACGUAGGGUGCGAGCGUUGUCCGGAAUUAUUGGGCGUAAAGAGCUUGUAGGCGGUUUGUCGCGUCUGCUGUGAAAUUCCAGGGCUUAACCCUGGGCUUGCAGUGGGUACGGGCAGACUAGAGUGUGGUAGGGGAGACUGGAAUUCCUGGUGUAGCGGUGAAAUGCGCAGAUAUCGGGAGGAACACCGGUGGCGAAGGCGGUUCUCUGGGCCUUACCUGACGCUGAGGAGCGAAAGCGUGGGGAGCGAACAGG